rnacentral:rRNA from 1 species
AUGACGGAGCUGGUGGCCACCAUAGUGGUUGGACCACUGCUCUCCAUCGUCAAGGACAAAGCGUCCAGCUACCACCUCGACAAGUACAAGGUGAUGAACGGCAUGGAGGAGCAGCACAAGAUCCUCAAGCGCAAACUGCCUGCCAUCCUGGACAUCAUCACCGACGCCGAGCAGACGGCAGCACACAGAGAAGGGGCGACGGCCUGGCUGGAAGAGGUAAAGACGGUGGCUUACCAGGCGAAUGAAGUCUUUGAUGAGUUCAAGUAUGAGGCGCUUCGUCGUGAGGCCAAAAAGGAGGGACACUACAACAAGCUUGGCUUCGAUGUGGUAAAACUAUUUCCCACCCACAACCGUUUUAUAUUCCGUAACAGGACGGGGAGAAAGCUCCGCAAGAUUGUGCAGGACAUUGAGGUCCUUGUGGCUGAAAUGAAUGCAUUUGGCUUUAAAUACCAGCAACGGUCACCGUUAUCCACCAAGUUGCGGCAGACAGAUCAUGUUAUCUUUGAUCCAGAGAAAAUAACCAUCAGAUCCAGAGAGAAGGAUUACAAGAAUAUUAUCAAUAUACUUGUUGGGCAAGCUAACAAUGCAGAUCUCACAGUUGUUCCCAUCGUUGGAAUGGGGGGUCUGGGCAAGACUACGUUAGCACAACUUGUUUAUAAUGAACCUGAAAUUGAGAAGCAUUUUGAUGUGCUACUAUGGGUGUGUGUCUCUGAAUGCUUUGAUGCGGACUCUCUGGCUAGAAGUAUAGUUGAAGCAGCUCUUGAGAAGAAGGAUAAUGGUACAGAAGCAGCUCCCAGGAAGAAGAGGGAUGAUACAGAAGCAUCAACUGAUUCCAAGAAGAAGACACUGCUCGAUAGCCUUCAGCAUGUGGUAAGCGGUCAAAGGUACCUCCUUGUAUGGGAUGAUAUCUGGGCACGACAGGUUCACAUCUGGGAACAACUCAAGGCAUGUCUUCAACAUGGUGGCAUGGGUAGCGUGAUCUUGACAACAUCUCGUGAUGGAGGAGUGGCUGAAACAAUGGGUACGGUUGAAGCUUAUAAUCUCACAGCUUUGGAAAAUAAGUUCAUAAAGGAAAUCAUCGAGACAAGUGCCUUCAGUUGUUUGCAUAAGGAAGAGGAAAGGCCCAUCGUGUUGGUGGACAUGGUUGAUGAGAUUGUGAAGAGAUGCCGUGGCUCUCCUUUAGCCGCAACAGCAUUGGGCACUGUACUGCGUACCAAGACCAAUGAGGAAGAAUGGAAGGCUGUCUUAAGUAGAAGCAACGUUUGCACCGAGGAGUCUGGAAUCUUACCAAUACUCAAGCUCAGUUACAACGACUUGCCAUCAUAUAUGAAGCAAUGCUUUGCCUUUUGUGCUAUAUUUCCCAAAGAUUAUGAGAUUGAUGUGGACAAGCUAAUCCAACUAUGGAUUGCUAAUGGCUUUAUUAUCCAGGAAAAGCAUGUUCGUCUUGAAACCAUUGCCAAACAGAUUUUCAAUCAGUUAGCCUCAAGGACUACAUGUAGAAUCCACGAUCUUAUGCAUGAUGUCGCAUUGUCUGUAAUGGAGAAGGAGUGUGCCCUCGCAACUGAGGAAACCAGCAAGAUUGAAUGUGUUGUUGCAACUGAGGAACCAAGCCAGACGAAAAGCAGCUCUUUGCAACAUCUAGCAAAAUGCAGCUCUUUGCAAGCAUUUCAGCUCUGUUCAUACAAAUCAUCAUUUCCGCUGAAGUCAAAGUAUCUACAUCACCUAAGGUACCUAGAUCUCUCAAGAAGUUAUAUCAAAGCACUUCCUGAAGAUAUGAGCAUUCUAUACAACCUGCAAACUUUGAACCUCUCUGGCUGCAAAUACCUUUGUGGGCUUCCAAGCCAAAUGAAGUAUAUGACUGCCCUCCGUCACCUUUUUACUCAUGGUUGCCCACAACUGAAGAGCAUGCCUAGAGACCUCAGAAAGCUCACAGCCCUACAAACACUAACAUGUUUUGUAGUAGUUAGUGGCUCUAAUUGCAGUAAUGUUGGAGAGCUCAGGAAUUUAAACCUUGGUGGUCAACUAGAGCUACAUCAUCUAGCGAACGUGACAGAAAAAGAUGCAAAAGCGGCAAAUCUCAUUAGGAAGAAUGAACUAAGGGAACUGACAUUAAGAUGGACAGUUGGACAGGAUCAUUUUUCUAGGGAAACUAGUCAUGAGGAUGAUGCAAGAGUGCUCGAGAAACUCAAACCUCAUAAUGGGCUGCGUGCUAUAAGGAUAUACUCCUAUCGAGCCACCACCUUUCCAACAGGGAUGGCUAUGUUGCAAAACAUUGUUGAGAUCCACGUCUGCCAUUGUAAAAAACUGCAAUGGUUGUUCAGCCGCAACAGUGAUACAUCCUUUGCAUUUCCAAAUCUGAAGGAGCUUACACUAGACAGCCUUGUCUCUUUGGAGAGAUGGUGGGAAAUAAAUAAUGAUGUGAUACAAAGAGAAGAAAUAAUGUUUCCUCGGCUCGAGAAGUUGUGUAUUAGUCAGUGUGAAAAGCUCACAGCAUUGCCAGGACAACCGACCUUCCCUAACCUCCAGAAUGCUUGCAUUGAAAGAUGUCCAGAGUACUUGACAACGAGAGUUAAAUCACCAAACCUCAGUGUAUUAACGAUGCAAGGACGUGAGAUACACGUGUUCCAGUGGGUAGCCAGGCAUAUGACUUCAUUGAUCAAUCUAGAACUGCAUAGCCUUGAAGACAGUACAGAAACAACCUCGGGGGCAGCUGAGCAUGGUUUGAGAGAAGUGUUAACGUUCGACGGGAAGAAAAACUGGAGGGGUCAAGAUUUUCCUCUGGCAGUUCUGGUGUUAGUAAAUUUUAGGUCAGGUGUAACAGAGCUGUGUGCAUGUUUUGUACACCUUCAAGGUCUGAGAAUUUGGGGUUGUGCGCUCGUCCACUGGCCAGCAAAAGAGUUCCAAGGAUUGGUAUUUUUGAGGAGGCUUCAGAUUGAAUGCUGCGAUGAUUUGACUGGAUAUGCACAAGCUUCUGCUGAGCUGUCAACAUCACCAGAAACGACUCUGCAGCUCCUGCCACGUCUAGAGUCUCUGGAGAUACGGAAGUGUGACAACUUGGUUGAGGUCUUCAACGUUCCUGCAUCUCAAAGGAGAAUGAUAAUUUGUGAUUGCAGUAAGCUUGAGUCCCCAUUUGGCAGGAGGCUACAGCAGGGCCAGUCAGCACCGUCCAUUCAUCAAGGAUCAUCUAGUGUACUGGAGGUGCAAUCAUCAUCAUCACCCGGAGCUGGGGCGGAGCAUUUACAGAAAUUAAGAAUAGAGAGUUGCCAUGGCUUAACAGGAGUUCUCCAUCUUCCCCAGUCCCUCAAGGAUCUAGAAAUUAGCUACUGUGUUGGGUUGACAUCUUUGGGAUCUUGCUCGGGAGAGCUCCCAUCGUUGGAGCGCCUCUAUCUUGCGAGUUGCAAUAUUGUGUCAUCCCUACCGGAUGGGCCGCAAGCAUACUCAUCUCUCCAAGAGCUUGUCAUUGUCCACUGCCCUGCUAUGAAGACGCUCCCUGCAAGCCUGCAGCAACAGCUGUGCAGCCUCCAGAGGGAACAUGUAGAUGCCCAUUAUUAUGGAAACGUGUACGCCGUUGUUGAGACACAGCCGGAUCAGCCACAAAGGAUCUACCAGACUGCUCCUGUGUGGCAUCUAAUCCCGAGGGUGAUUCUGAAGGAUUUUCUGCGGCUGUUUGCUGAAGUGGAGCGCCUGGAAUGCGCACAGAGGAUCUCGGUGCGGCAUCUGCAUGUGCAUGCAGCCCAUUAUGCGUGA